UCUCUCCUCUCUCUCCCUCUCUUUGAACCGUCCACCAUGGGAGCUCUCUCCCUCCAUUUUUGUUCUUCUUAAAGCUUGAUUUUCCAAGCUUUCUCCUCCCCAAAACCCAUAGUCUCCUUCAUUAAAAAGUUAGCCCACUCCAUAAAGAAGCCAUUAAUAGUGAAAAGAAGAAGAAAAGUUAAAGUUUGACAAGUUACCCAAGAGGUACUGGAGAUCAGUCCCAGCAGCCGCAGCAGCUGCAGCAGCAGCACCAGUAGUGCACUAACAGAGCUCUGAUCAGAUCUGCCAUUAUCCAGAGUCACCUCACCAGUCUUUUGUAUUUUGGUAGGGCCCAUGUAUAGACUAUUAUUUUGGUUCAUUAUGUUUAGUCAUGAUGUAAUUACUAGUUUAUGAUGUAUUUCAUUUUGGACUUGAAAUUAAACUUGAAAUUGAAAUAAAAACUUAUAAUUUAUUAUC